UCAGACACACUGGAUCAUCAUGGUGCAGAGGUCUGUACUAUGAAGCAAGAUUUGGCGUUAACGAGGUAACUUCAGGUUCAACCAAGGGUUUUCUGUAUCACAAUGGUGGAUCCCUUGUUACCGGGUUAAAUCGCCAUGGUAACUUAUGC